AGAGUUUGAUCCUGGCUCAGGAUGAACGCUAGCGGCAGGCUUAAUACAUGCAAGUCGAGGGGCAGCAGCUUUAUAGCAAUAUAAGGGCUGGCGACCGGCAAACGGGUGCGGAACACGUACACAACUUUCCUCUAACUGGGAAAUAACCCUGGGAAACUAGGACUAAUAUCCCAUAGUAUAACUGGAUGGCAUCAUCUGGU
rnacentral:rRNA from 1 species